UGGUAGCGUGGGCUUGUAACUCGAGUGAGAGCUUUAAGAUGGCUGGAGUUUGGCUUGGUUCAGAAGGCUGGGCUCUGUUGAAGUUUGCACAGGCUUGCCCAUUCCAAGUAUGGAGUUGUGCCUUGGCCACCUAGCGAAGGCUCGGGGGUCAAGGUCACUAAAGCGGAAGGCACAGCGCGAGGCUGGUUUCACAGAGCAGCGAUCACUUCCCUCUCUUGUCGGUGGAAGGAUAACAGGCUUGUUCUUGGCAAGUCCAUUUAACACCCGAUGAGCCACUCAAAUCAACAACCAUCUUUUUGUUUUUUUUUGCACCUUGGUGAGAGUCUGGGUAACUGAGUUAGCCUGUAAUAUAAGAACUACACAUGAUCAUCCUUUUUCAACAAUCAUAAUUAUGAUAGAAUCAACAUAUGAAACGAAAUGCCACAAUUGUGUGGAAUCAACAUACGAGAUUUUCGCUAUACAAAGGAAUGUUUGGUUGCUUGCGUUAUGCGGCUUACUUAUCCAACCAUAGGUAAAAUUGUGUUUUGCAUCAGUUAAAUGUGUGUUUCUAAGAUUUCAUUCAAAUUGAUUUGACCUCUUUUAUAUAAGAGUGCAGGUUCUAUAGCUGUUUCAAGGUGAUUUUAUUGUCUUCGGUGAAAUAUCAGAUCAAUAAAAGCUUGUGUUCGUUGAAGGAUCAACAAAAAACUGGGCUUAGGAAACUCUAAACUCUCAAAAGAUGGCAUAAUUAUAAAUGUCGGAUCGAGUCUUUCUAUUGCACUUUGAACCAAUGUGUUUAAACAGUUCUUCCGUCUCGGUUAAUUGGAUACAUAGACAAAUAAUCUCGAUGCAAUUAGGGAUAUGAUAAUCAGUUUACACAUCAAAAACUAUAUCAAUAAAAACAAUUGUCGCAGUUUUGGUACCCGUUGAAGAACAACAUCUACAUAGUAGAAUUUAAUAGCCGACACAACUAAUUUAACCUAAAAUAUUCGAGACUAGAAGUUAAGAUAAUAAACUUUUUCUGAAUGACCAAAGAUCUGGCCGGACUUCGAUAAAAGAAGUUGAUCAUUUCAAGUAUAUACAACACUUUCCGGUUUAGCAGGGGUUUUAGCCUUAGGUUAGCCUCUUCAAGUUUUGUAUAAAGCAUGGUUUGUAGAAUAGGGGCUUGGUUAUAUUUGAAAGAUAUACCAUUCUGAACCCACAUCGAAAAGGAACAAAACAUCAGCCUAACAGUGACCUAUAAAUAACGAGGAGGCUGCGAACUUGCAAAUUACUUACCUGGACAGGGUCAAUGGCUGAUCAAGAAGGGCCAUGGCCUAGGUUAGAGGCUUCCAUUGCACUCAGGAAGGGCUCUCGCCUAAGGUCUACCCAAGUGGUGGAGCCUAUGUCAUAAUUUGUGACAGGUGGAGCUUGCGUUCGCGCAGCUCCGCGCCAAUUCUAGUAAAAAUAUUUUUUGCAUUCAUUUUUUUUUUUGCAUUCAUUUAUUUGAAGCUAAUGUGAAAUUUAAUUAUAGUAUUUGGCAAUUUAUUAUUUAUAAUAUUAACCAAGUUGAGAUCUAUUAAACUAUAUAGUUUCAGGAUUUUAUUUGCCUCAAAUUUUCGGAAGGCCCUUAAAAAAUGAAGUCAUAUCAUUUGAAAAGAAUGUUGAAGUUUUGGUGACACUGAAGAGCAAGGAAUGCAUAGUAGAAUCACAAUUCUUGACAUGACAAGAUCAAGGGACAUGCGAUGAUUGACUAGUAUAAUACGAGCAUGAUUCACAUCUGAUGAAACUUUAGCUUGGAAGGAUUGUUGCCUUCCUCUUAUGGCAUGAUUUAUGGCUGAAUCAGUUGACAGUUGCAGUCUAUUAUGGCAUAGGCAGGAACUAUCUUCUCUCAAUGUAAAUAGGCAGUAUUUGCACAAUUUUCACAAAAUCUGGUGCUAGCUUUCUACCUGGUUCUGUUACGGAGCUAUUCUUAGCACUUCUCUUUGUGAACCAGGAGCUUGGAGCUCUUUUCCGGUUGCUUGCUAAAUCAAGGACUUUACCAGUGUUUCAAGUCUAACUAUACUUUUAAGCUGAAAAAUGUUUAUUUGUGUAAUAAAUUAGAAGUACAAUUAAAAUUAGAAAUAAGUCACAUACUGAAAAAUUCGUUUUAUGUACUCUUUUCUUUAUACACUUUAUUCAGUUACUUAAUUUUUAAAUUUUUUUGACAAAAUUUACCUUUAAGUUAUAAUUUAUCUAUAAAUCACUUUUAUUUUUAUCAUUAUAUUUUUAGUAAUCCAUAAAUCAUUAAUAAAUUAAAAUUACUCAAACAAAUAAUUUGAACUCUAAACUUAAAUCAUAAAUCAAAAUAUUAAAAACAACCAAAUGGUCUCUUAAACAUGCGCGCAAUAUUGUUGCUAAUCUAUUACUCCCCGUCUCAUUUUAAGUGGAAUGUUUUGACUUUCGUCGGUCAAAUUGACCAAUAUUUGAUCAAAGAUAAAGAAUAAAUUCAUUAUUAUUUUAAAAAAUUAAAAAUUACAUUUUAUAUUAUAUUAUAUGUACUUUAUAAUGACAUAAUUUUUUUUACCUUUAAAAAGUAUAUUAUAUGUGUAAAUCUUACGGGGGUGUAUUCGAUUGGGAUUUUAAUGCAUUGUUUUUAGUCUAUGGAUUUUAAUGGAUUGUAUGGGAUUUUGAUUUUUUGCGGAUUCUUGAUGAAAUGUCGCAGAGUUGAUAUGAUUUAGGUACAAUUCUUCGAAAUCCCAUUGAAUUUGGUGGGAUUUCAAAAAACUUAAAAUACACUGAAGAAUGCCACAAAAUCCAUCAUUUUAUGAAAUGAAAAAAAAUCCAUCAGCAUUUGAAUACCAUCAGAUUUUAAUGGAUUUUAAACAAUCCCAAUUGAAUACCAUCGGAUUUUAAAGCAUAAUUUAAAAUCCCAAUUGAAUACCACUAGAUUUUGCAGCAUAGUUUAAAAUCCCAAUUGAAUACCUCAAGAUAUUAAUGGAUUUCAAACAAUCCCAAUCGAAUACCCUUGGAUUUCAUGAAUGCAAAAAAAUGUUUUAAAAUCCCAAUCCAAUACACCCAUCUUUAGUCAAGAUUUGGUCAAUUUGAUCAUUUAAAACUCAAACUGGACAAUUAAAAUGAGACGAGGUGAGUAUUAAAUUGCUGGCUCAAUAAGUCAUCUCUCUCAUGAUUUGUUCUGGGUUUGAACUUGUAGCGCACGAUCGCAAGAGAAAAGAUAUUUAAUUAUAUAUUUUAAAUAUUAUUUUAUCAAUAAUAUUUAAAAUAUUAAAAAACUAGGAAAAUAAGAAUUAGAUUUUCCUACAUUUAACAACACUAACAGAAAAUUGGAAAGAGAUAGUUAAGUUUUAUUAAUUUUACCAUUUUGAACCAGCCCCCAUCGUGUCCUAUAAGUCUUUUUUCAGCAAAUCGAAAGUCAAGUUUCGGGAUUGCAGAAUCACUUAGCCCAGAGCCAGAUUUACGUGUAUGUAGUUUCUUAUACUCGAUUUAACACACACAAACACACACUCGUUGCUUGUGUAAUAUCUCUAGUUGUAUAGAUUCCUGAAUUCAUUGAUGUUAGUGCCAGACCUAAUUUUACUUUGUAAAUACCUUUGAAUUUUGAUCAUACAUCUUUGAUGCUUUUGUUUCUAAUUUUAGAUUCCAGGUCUUAACUUUAAUCUUUUGUUUCAUAGUCUGCUGAAAGUAAUACAACAAGCUGUAUUGUCACAUGAUGAGUAGUUAAGAAUGAAAUCGCAACUUCUGUUAUGUAAUACUAAUCAAAGUUUGUUAGGAUAUUAUACUGUUUUAACCAUUGUUUGAAUUGUUGUUAUCAAUUUUAGCAACUUAUCGUAUUCAGGCUUUCUUACUGUUUUUCUCUCCUCUGACGAGUUGCGGCUUUAAGUCCUUAUUAAGAUUUUUAACAUUGUCCAAUCCAAACCCCUUAUAUUGUACAGGUAAUUGACUGGGCUGAUUAAGCAAUGGCACUGAGAAUGGUAGCAAGGAAUUUUAGAAGUAAGCUUCUGCCAAGUUUAACUCCGGCAUAUAUGUUGCACUCUCAUGCUACAAGUUUCGGUAAGUCUGUUUCCUUUGAAUUUCAAUUUUUACUUUUUUAAGGUUUCCACGAAUUUCCAUCUACAAUCUAAAUGAAUUUGACAGAGUGAUUAUUUGUAAGUUUAUAGGGCAUUCUAGUGUUGUUUAGUUGUUGGACUUGUUAGAAUAUCUUUCUUUUGCCAUCAGUUAUGGAGGAUUUGAAUUUCUAACACUAGUGGUUAGUUAAUAACUUAAUAUGCAAAUCAGUUUUUUGUAGGCUGAGUUAUGUUGAGUCUAAGUCUUUAAAUUUUACUUGGUCGACAUAGUUGGAUGUUGUUUUUGAUAAGAUUGAUGAUAAGGAUCAUUGUGUAUCAUGUUUGUGCUUUACUUAGGUUUUAUGCACUUAUGGGGGUUGCUAUUAAUGCUACUAUUUGACAUAUGUUUUACACAGUUGGGAGCUGACUGCAGCAGUACUAUUUAGUAUUGUUGUUAUAUUAACAUUUGCUUCCAAACAAGGUUCGACAGCUAUUUACUACUGUAAACAGAUGAAGUCUUUUUAAAAACCACAAACCACAGACAUCACAAUGUAAGCAUAAUGCACUUGCAGAUCUCCUAUAGACAUGCCUAGCUUAUUUUUGUUGUCCCCAUCUCGAUUAAUUUUAAAAUAGAUAUGUCAACUGACCUCGUAGUAUUUAACAUCUCCAACACCUGAGGAUGAAGAUGAUGACGGGACUAGUAGCGAGUUGAGUUUGUAAGGUUCAUGAGUAACAUUGUCAUCAAAUAUUAGAUCGCUUUUAUCCUGUGAAUUGAUACUGUAUCUUUGUGUAUGAGUUAUAGUUCAUGAUACCGUCCCAGUUUAAAAACGAUAAAUUCAUAAUAGAUGUGAAUCGUCGUUCGGGACUAUGAGUUGAUGAUUACCCUCCAUUACUAGUUAGUAUUGUUAGUAUUAGGUGGUAGUUUAGUGUUUACUAAUACAUUUUAUUAUAUUCCAGCUGUGUUAUUUUGUAUCUAUAUAUGUAUCUUGUAACUGCAGAGUAAUAAAAUCAGACUUAUGUAUAUUUCUCUGAAUAUUGAUGAGAGUUAUCAGUUUGAGAUUGCUUGGGGGCAGAGAUUGGGCUGUGGUUCAAUCAGCCCAGGGCUGAUGAUCACUGUUCUUGUUGUGUUUAUUAUCAUCUGUUAUAAUCUUAUUCUUCUUAUUGUGCUUCAUCAAAUGAACAUCAGAAAACCUACUUCUGGUUGUUUUCAUUGAUAAGUUCAUGCCACUGUUAAACUGGACUAGUGAAUAGUGAUAUAUGAAAAAAAUGCAUGUGGUAGCUUAAAAAAAACGAAGAGGGAGUUCCCUCUUCCAUUUAAUCUAUUUAGAAGCUAAUAUGCAAAGAAAUGUUCCUUUUCUUCUGGAGUCGUAUGCUUAGUUAUGUCCAACGUCUGCCAAGUAGAUUGUCUUCAUAAGAAGAUAUAAAGAACUGAAAAUCUGUACUUUAUGUAUUGGAACUAUUUGUUCAUUCCAUUGACAUCCAUUCCCAUUGUCAGGAUAUAAAGAAAUACCGGAAGAAGAAAAGAGCAAAAUGGUUGGUAAUGUCUUUACUAGUGUUUCUUCGAACUAUGAUCUUAUGAAUGACCUGAUGAGUGCUGGGUUACAUAGAUUAUGGAAGGAAAGGUUGUAAAUUCUAUACUUUAAAUAUACUCUAAUUUGUAUUAGUCUCGCGUGCUUUUACCAACAAUUAAAUUUAGUUACUUAUAAUUUUCCAGAUUAGUAUCCAAACUAAAUCCAUUUCCUGGAAUGAAGCACCUUGAUAUGGCGGGCGGAACAGGUUUUUAUCAUUUCAACGUAUUGUCUUUCUUAUAAUCACAAUUGUUAUAGCCUGAUAAUGUUAUUUUGAGCAAGGUUCUUACAUGAGAAACUAGGAAAUAAUUAACUCCCUAGUGUGUAUAUGUUUCCAUUAUUUUUCUGAUGCCAUUUGUUCCAAGCAAAUGGAGCAUCGUUUCCAUUCUUUUCUGAUGCCAUAUCACAUAUGUUCCAAGUGAAUGGAGCAUAUUUUUAUGUUUCGGCUGUCUUUCUUUUUUAAGGAGUCAAAAUAUCAUUAAUAUAAUAGAUAUCUUGUUUUAAGUGUCUACAGACUCUGCACGAUGAAGCAGAUAUAUAUGUGUAUGAAUAUAUAAUAUUCGUUAGGUAAAUUUUGUAAGUUUGGCUAAUUGCAGGAGAUGUUGCGUUUCGAAUUCUAGAAAGCGUGAACAGUGUUAGGCAUAAAGCCCUACGAGAUAUGCUCGAAGAUAAUUUCCAGGAAAAAACCCAGAUAUAUGUAUGUGAUAUCAACCCACAUAUGUUAAACGUUGGCAAAAUGCGGGCCCAAGAGGGAGGUAAUAUAGGAGGAGUGUUACAUAGCGAAAAAUUAUAUUUUCUAUUGCCACUUGUAUAGUCUCAUAACAAUGAGUCCUACCUGUUAUUUGUUACAUACUAGCAUCUGUAUUUGUAUCGUUGUAGGCCUAGGAGAAGAUGGAUCUCUUGUAUGGGUUGAAGGAGACGCGGAAGCAUUAAAUUUUGAGGAUGACUCAAUAGAUGGUUAUACGAUUGCUUUUGGUAUUAGAAAUGUGACACACAUAGAGAAAGUUCUUUCUGAAGCUUACAGGUAACUUGCCAACUUGUAUGCUGAUUGGACUUUUAUGUAUGUAUCUGUGUAAAUGUAGCUUGAGUUAAUAUUUUAUGGCUCAGGAAGUCCUCAACCUAAAAUGGGUUUUUUUACCAUAAAAUGUAGCUUGAUCAUAAAAUGGGUUUUUUUUACCAUACUAUUGUUCACAUAGUAAUACUCCAUCUAAAGUUCUUGUAUCUAUACGAUAAAAAGGAUUCAAGGAGACAAUUUCCUAAAAUUUGAACUUGCAGGAAAGUUUGGCAUACAAAUUAAACUUUUCUACACACCAUAAGAAACAAACAUAGAAAGAUAGUAAUUCCACCUUUUCUCUGCUUAGCGAACAUCGCUUCACGUGCCCAACUUUUCUUGUAUUCUGAAGUAUAAGAUGAAACCCAAUCUAUCAACUAAAACCUCUAGAGAUAUUGAAACACUAGUAAUGCAACUUGCAACAACUUUGCCGCUUCUCUAAAAAGUGUUCUAAACUCAGUUAGAUGGCCAUUGCAAACGGAAUUAUCAC
rnacentral:lncRNA from 1 species